rnacentral:tRNA from 1 species
CCCCUCGUGGCGGAAUAGGCAGACGCGCUGGAUUUAGGUUCCAGUGUUCAUGAUGGAACGUGUGGGUUCAAGUCCCACCGAGGGGA